CAGGGAGACAACAAAAUGUUUAAUAUUAUUAUUUUGUCACCUUAGGUCGAUCGGUAUCUCACGUUCUUAAUUUAUUAAGAAUUUCAUUUCCUAAGUUUUUCUAGGUCACACCCAUUAUUUUUCCUGGGCCAUUAGCUCAGGUGGUUAGAGCGCACCCCUGAUAAGGGUGAGGUCCCUGGUUCAAGUCCAGGAUGGCCCAUAUCUCUAUGUUGGGGGUAUAGCUCAGUUGGUAGAGCGCCUGCUUUGCAAGCAGGAUGUCAGCGGUUCGAGUCCGCUUACCUCCACUGAUUACCACCUCUUCCAUAACUGGUAGAAAGGAAAUGUUUUGAGUUGUGAUUAUUAUUCUGAACGAAUCUAGCUUCCUAAUGAAAUCAUUAAGAUGCUGGACUCAUUGAAUUAAUUUCAUUGUUUUCAGAGAACCUUGACAACUGCAUAGAUUUUUUAAAGACAAUAAGCAUCUUUAAUGAUGCAGAUUUAUUAUUUGUGCGAAUGCAUUAAUAACAAUUCUAUUAAGCUGAUGCUUCAAUUUUUGAAGUUAUU
rnacentral:tRNA from 1 species